GACCUCUUGGCUCAGUGGUAGAGCAUCUGAUUCCAGUGACACGUGACCCUAGCACUGAGCCAUCGUGCUGUGUCUCCAGAAGGUCGUCCGUUCGAUCCGGGCAGAGGUCA